rnacentral:rRNA from 1 species
UACGUAGGUGGCAAGCGUUGUCCGGAUUUAUUGGGUUUAAAGGGUGCGUAGGCGGUUCACUAAGUCAGCAGUGAAAUACGGCAGCUCAACUGUCGAGGUGCUGUUGAUACUGGUGAACUUGAGUACUGAUGAGGUAGGCGGAAUGGACGGUGUAGCGGUGAAAUGCUUAGAGAUCGUCCAGAACACCGAUAGCGAAGGCAGCUUACUAAGGAGUAACUGACGCUGAGGCACGAAAGUGUGGGGAUCAAACAGG